rfam:Felis catus isolate Cinnamon breed Abyssinian chromosome D3, whole genome shotgun sequence.
GGAUGUGAGGGAUUAUCUGGCUGUGGAAUCUGUCACGCCAUUGAUCACCAGGGUUCAUUUGGCUGAUGUGACUGGCUAGACAGGUGUCCCCUUCUUCUCUUUCCACUCCAAGUGUACCCCUGCCAAAGCUGCAUGCUCAGUGGAGUACAGUCUUCCCUGGUGGAGAAGAAUCGGUCUUUGGUCAAGAACACAUGAGUAGCUGUGCUCUCCUGCUAGAAUCUCCAAACAAGCUCUCAAGGUCCAUUUAUAGGAAAACAUAGGGCAGUCAAGCUUCCAAGACUCCAGACACAUCCAAAUGAGGCGCUGCAUGUGGCAGUCUUUCUUAACAAU